rnacentral:rRNA from 1 species
AGCAGCCGCGGUAAUUCCAGCUCCAAUAGCGUAUAUUAAAGUUGUUGCAGUUAAAAAGCUCGUAGUUGAACUUCGGGGUUUACCCAUUGGUCAGGCUUAAUUGUCUGUACUGGUGAGAUGAAUCUCUACCUUCUGAGGAACUUUCAUGCCAUUUAUUUGGUGUGAUGGGAAAUCAGGACUGUUACUUUAGAAAAAUUAGAGUGUUUAAAGCAGGCUAACGUCUGAAUACAUUAGCAUGGAAUAAUGAAAUAGGACGGACUGAUUCUAUUUCGUUGGUUUCUAGGAUCACCGUAAUGAUUAAUAGGGAUAGUUGGGGGCAUUAGUAUUCAAUUGUCAGAGGUGAAAUUCUUGGAUUUAUUGAAGACUAACUACUGCGAAAGCAUUUGCCAAGGAUGUUUUC